rfam:Rattus norvegicus chromosome 16, whole genome shotgun sequence.
GGGGAUUUAGCUCAGUGGUAGAGCGCUUGCCUAGCAAGCACAAGGCCCUGGGUUCGGUCCCCAGCUCUA